GAUGAACGCUGGCGGCGUGCCUAAUACAUGCAAGUCGAGCGAACGGACGAGAAGCUUGCUUUUCUGAUGUUAGCGGCGGACGGGUGAGUAACACGUGGAUAACCUACCUAUAAGACUGGGAUAACUUCGGGAAACCGGAGCUAAUACCGGAUAAUAUUUUGAACCGCAUGGUUCAAAAGUGAAAGACGGUCUUGCUGUCACUUAUAGAUGGAUCCGCGCUGCAUUAGCUAGUUGGUAAGGUAACGGCUUACCAAGGCAACGAUGCAUAGCCGACCUGAGAGGGUGAUCGGCCACACUGGAACUGAGACACGGUCCAGACUCCUACGGGAGGCAGCCGUAGGGAAUCUUCCGCAAAGGGCGAAAGCCUGACGGAGCAACGCCGCGUGAGUGAUGAAGGUCUUCGGAUCGUAAAACUCUGUUAUUAGGGAAGAACAUAUGUGUAAGUAACUGUGCACAUCUUGACGGUACCUAAUCAGAAAGCCACGGCUAACUACGUG
rnacentral:rRNA from 1 species